UACGGAGGGUGCGAGCGUUGUCCGGAAUCACUGGGCGUAAAGGACGCGUAGGCGGCGCGGAUAGUCGGCGGUGAAAGCCCGGAGCUCAACUCCGGGUCGGCCGUCGAUACUUCCGGGCUUGAGCACUGUAGAGGCAGAUGGAAUUCCGGGUGUAGCGGUGGAAUGCGUAGAGAUCCGGAAGAACACCGGUGGCGAAGGCGGUCUGCUGGGCAGUUGCUGACGCUGAUGCGCGACAGCGUGGGGAGCAAACAGG
rnacentral:rRNA from 1 species